UCUGCAGAUGUUCCUCUGAUCGUUGGUGUGACUCUGGUUCUGGUUCUGGUCUCAGCAGCUCUGCUGGUUUCCUGCAGGAGACUAUCUCUGAGAGAUGCAGAGAACGAAGGAGGUCCAGCUGGAUCAAACGCUGUGAAAUCCAUAUAUGAAACCUCCACUUUUAAGAACUCCAUCUACCAGGACCUCAGUUAUGUCACCAAAGAAGAGAAUCAUAUCUAUUGUACCAUAGAUGAAGACAAUCAAGAUCCUGGAAUCCGGUUCUGAGCCUCAGGAAUAAUGCUCGUUCUGCUUAAAUCAGAAUAAAACUGAAUUAGAAAAAUGCAUUCUUGCAUCCCAGAUAAAGAGUUUGACAUGUAGCUGCAUGUUGUUGAAUAGUUGUUGAUAAAGUUGUGGAUCAGUUCGCUGGACCAAGGAUCCAAGUCUUUGUCACUGUGAUAAAAUGGACCAAGACUUGGUCUGGUCAGUUACACUCUAACUCUGAACAGAACCUCUUUGGUACCACAAGGCUCGAUCCUGGGCCCCCUCUUAUUCAUAUCCACAUGUUCCUACCGGCUCAGGGAAUAAUAAGAUAUAAGACCAUAACUAUGCAGAUGGUACACAGCUCUAUGUUGUGAUGUCACCAGGUGACUCUGAACCAUCCAAUCACUGAACAGAUGAUUAGAACAGAUAAAUGUGUGGAUGAGCCAAAACCUUCAGAACAGAAACAAAACUGAAGUUAUUAUCUGUGGGCCUGAACAAUCUAGAGCUAUAGAUCUAGAGUCAACACAGCUUCAGUUAUUACAGCUGGGAACUAGAGAUCAUGCUGACCUCUGACCUGAACCUUCAGAGCCACAUAGAGACAGCUCCAAAGUCGGCCUUCUGUCACCUGAAGAACAUUUCCAGGAUUAAUGGACUAAUGUCAUCCAUGUGUUUGCCACUGAUCUCCUUUAAAUCAAGGCUAAAAUCACUGAAUUUAUUAGUAAUAAAUGGAACUUUGAUCAAUAUAUUUGUU